GCGCGUGUAGCUCAGUUGGUUAGAGCACAGCUCUUAUAAAGCUGGGGUCCUUGGUUCAAAUCCAAGCACGCGCA
rnacentral:tRNA from 1 species